GACGAACGCUGGCGGCGUGCUUAACACAUGCAGGUGGAGCGAUGAACCAGGCUUCGGCCUGGGGCAAAGCCGCGAACGGGUGAGUAUCACGUGGGUAACCUGCCCCGAUGACCGGGACAACCCGAGGAAACUCGGGCUAAUACCGGAUGUGCUCUCCGCACAUCAGUGCGAUGAGGAAAGGAAGCUUCGGCCUCCGCAUCGGGAGGGGCCCGCGGCCCAUUAGCUUGUUGGUGAGGUAACGGCUCACCAAGGCCGCGAUGGGUAGCUGGUCUGAGAGGACGAUCAGCCACACUGGGACUGAGACACGGCCCAGACUCCUACGGGAGGCAGCAGUGGGGAAUCUUGCGCAAUGCGCGAAAGCGUGACGCAGCAACGCCGCGUGAGGGAAGAAGGCCUUCGGGUUGUAAACCUCUUUCAGGAGGGACGAAGGUUCAGGCGCGAAUAGCGGCCUGGACUGACGGUACCUCCAGAAGAAGCCCCGGCUAACUACGUGCCAGCCGCCGCCGUAAGAC
rnacentral:rRNA from 1 species